AGUUGCUAUCAUUGUUAUUCUUUGUGAUGCCACAACUACAUUGACAUAUACAGUCCAAGAUUAGCUGCUUAUUCAUCUAAAAUAAUGGUGAUUUCUUAUGCUUGUUUUAGGAUUUGGAUGAUGUGUUGGAGAAAGCCAAGAAGGCCAAUGUUGUGGCCCUUGUGGCAGUUGCCGAACAUUCAGGAGAAUUUGAAAAGAUUAUGCAACUUUCAGAAAGGUAUAAUGGGUUUGUCCUGCCAUGCUUGGGUGUUCAUCCAGUUCAAGGACUUUCACCAGAAGACCAAAGAAGUGUCACACUAAAGGAUUUGGAUGUAGCUUUGCCCAUUAUUGAGAAUUAUAAGGAUCGGUUGUUGGCAAUUGGAGAGGUUGGACUAGAUUUCUCCCCCAGAUUUGCUGGCACUGGUGAACAGAAGGAAGAGCAAAGACAAGUCCUAAUCAGACAGAUCCAGUUAGCCAAAAGACUAAAUUUGCCUGUGUAGGUUAAUUAUUUUCCUAUGUUAAUAGCUAUAGAGCAAAUUAAAUAAUGAUCAGAGUUCUCCUGAAAUGGAACUCUACAUUUAUUUUUCUCCG
rnacentral:sRNA from 1 species